CCUACGGGUGGCAGCAGUGGGGAAUAUUGCGCAAUGGGCGAAAGCCUGACGCAGCGACGCCGCGUGAGGGAUGAAGGUCUUCGGAUCGUAAACCUCUGUCAGCAGGGAAGAACGGUCACUGUGCUAAUCAGCAGUGAAUUGACGGUACCUGCAAAGUAAGCACCGUCUAAAUCCGUGCCAGCAGCCGCGGUAAUACGGGGGGUGGGAGCGUUAAUCGGAAUUACUGGGCGUAAAGCGCUCGUAGGCGGUAUGUCAAGUCAAGGGGGAAAUCCCCGCGCUCAACGUGGGAACUGCCUUUGAAACUGGCAAACUGGAGUGUGUGAGAGGAUAGUGGAAUUCCAGGUGUAGGAGUGAAAUCCGUAGAUAUCUGGAGGAACAUCAGUGGCGAAGGCGACUAUCUGGCACAUAACUGACGCUGAGGAGCGAAAGCGUGGGUAGCAAACAGGAUUAGAUACCCGUGUAGUC
rnacentral:rRNA from 1 species